rnacentral:lncRNA from 1 species
UGAAGACUUGAAGCUCAUAACAAGAUUAAUUAUAACAAAAAUGAAGCAACUUUACCCCGAUGAUUCCAUGGAAUCCGAAUAAUCCAUUAAUCCGGGGGGAGAGGAUUUUCGCCGGUGGAAAAGGAAAAAGGAAUCUCCGUCCAAUGACGAUCGAGGAAUUGCAAAAGAUUUUCUACCGCCUAGAGCGUGACGGGAAAAAAAGCUACUGGGCUAAGGAAUUGCACAGGAGGAUAGAUACCUGGACGUGGCAAAAUCCACGCGGCCCUUCUUAAAUAAGGAUGAUUUGGGGUUCCCUCUAACCUUUAUCUCUAAGUUGAAUAAGAGAAGACAAAGCUACGCAUUCAAUCGUAGCACUCGUUAGGCCUCCCGUUAAUAUGCCUUGCCGACAUGGAACCAUGCGCAUGAUUCCAAGAGUCACUGUAGGUUCUAUGGCCAGGCAGGGGAUUAAGGUAGUUUACUUGCUGGCUGAUAAGUCAGGUAGCGAAACCUUAUGUUAUUGAAUGCGUUGUCGGAAGGAUGGAUGGGAGGAAAUUUUCAUAUUCACUAACCUUUGCGAAAGCUCUCUCUUUGCGCUCCUUAUACUCUACGCUCUCUUCGUCCUCGGCUGUUAAUUGUGGAGACAAUACAUUCUUGUACCCGAUUCUUAGAGGAAUCUCGUCGUCGUCUUACCUUUGCAAUGCCGUCGAUCUCCGCCUCAUUCCUGAUCUCCUCGCUAAGAUUUUCUUCUCUCUCUAGGUUCCAUUUCUUUGAUCUUCUCUGCUUUUUUUUGAAAUGUAUGGGUUCUUUGAUCGGAGGUCUCAUAUAUCUUCUUUUCUUCAGUGCCUUCUCACUUAAUGCUAACCGAGCAAUAGCGCUCAUCAGGGUGGUUUGCUCGGGGGUUAGCCAAGACGCGCUAAGGCAUGGAGGUCUCAUAUAUCUUCCUUUCUUCAGUGCCUUCUCACUUAAUGCUAGCCGAGCAAUAGCGCUCAUCAGGGUGGUUUGCUCGGGGAUUAGCCAAGACGCGCUAAGGAAAAGGCAUUGAGCUCAAACACUGGCUUAGUAAGAGAUUCAAAGAGUGUAGUUAGCGGUCCUCGCUCCGAGGAUUUGCCUUAGGUUACUAUGUUCCUUGCCUAUGGUAUAAGAACAGCUUAUAAAAGGAGUUGGUGUUAAACCCCGAAAAUAAUCAAUUCUAACUAGUAGGCGCUCAUUACACACAAGAAAGUGUGUAGGUUUCAGUUCAGUCUACGGUUUCCCCGCCAAAAGUCGGAUAUCAUUGUAUUCCCUGCAUUCCUCUGUUGGAGUAACUUUCCCGUUUUAGGAAAAGUGGUUAGGAUGGAGUAGUUUCUAAUUGCUUGUAAGCUGAGACUUAUGUCGCAAAUAAAUAGAUACACUUGUUCAUUGGUCUACGAUCCGCUGCAACUUGUCUUUCUUGUGUGGUACCAUACCUCAUUGAAUGACUAUUUUCCCUUGUCUCUGCGAAAGAACUCCCUUGUUUCAUUGGUGCAGCUGCUAUUUGGUGAGAAAACUCCUUGCUUGUCGAUUAGAGGAAAUAAGCAGCUGUAGUAAGCGAGUAAGGAAGCGAAACUAGUCUUAGAUGUCGCUAAUGUGCUGCUUCUUCCUUCCUCUUAGCUCUUAGAAUAGCUUAUAAUUGAGAUCGUAUUAGCCUAGCCAAGUGGUAAUCUGAUACCGGUAGAAGUGGCUAUGGUAAAAAUGCUUUCCAAUCCAUCACGUCAUCCCAUCCUCCUAACAAUAUAUUGCGAGGAGCUUUAGGAAGCCAUUCGUGGUGUAUUUAUAUAUAGCUUAUCCUUUCUUACUGUGACCCGGGAAUAAUAGCCAUAUCCAAGCCAAGGAGUUAGACCAACCCAGAUAGACCACGUUAUGGUCGAUGGGAUUAGGAAAGAAGCAACAGAUUGAUUAAGCGCGCUAGCGCGGAAGCUUAUACUAUUCUAAGCUAGCCUUAGCGCAUCCGUUUUCUUGCUAGGGCAAGCACGAGGUCUGGUUCAAGGCAAGGUAUAGCUUAACGGAAUGAAACAGAAUUAGUGUAUUAAGCAAGUACGGAAAAGCUGAAAAAGGGAAUUCAGGCGCUGUUCUCAAGUCUAGUUAACGAAGCCGAGAGGGAAAGCUUACUUGAGAGGAUAUACCUGACUGAAAGGAUAUAUAUAGGAACUGAACUCAUAUUUCUAACUCUUCUCCCCAUAACGUCUUCUUUAAGAGCGGAUCCAACCUUUCUUCUUCCUUCUCAAGCAGAUACCGAACCCCAUUAUUUAGCGGCUCUCCGAAGUCAGAGAGAUAGGUGGGGGCCUUUCUGAUAGGCGGGACAAAGUGCUUUCAAUGGUGAUGAAAGAUGGGAAAUGCGUGUACGGUCAGUAUAUUCUUCUUGCUUACUCGCUCAGCUCUAUAUACUUAUAUAUUAGUUAGAUCGUUCGCUUUCAGACUGCUGCACGCUCGAACUAUUACAAUUAGCUAAACAACCCUUUCUUUAUGUUUAACCGCGGUAAAACACAACCAAUGCAAAGGGAAGAACGAGCUAUAAGGAAGUCUUAUUCACUCGCUUUCGAGAACUAAGAUUUACAGCUUAUUCUCCGUUCGACGAAUCUUCUUCUGGGGAAUUCUACUCUUCUUUCAUAGAUUGGGAACAUAAUAAGCACCACUAGCCUAUUGAGUUAGAUGAACUAGAUGACUUUCAUUAGCUCCUAGCGCAGCAUAUCUGAAUUCACUAUAGGGUUAAGAGUGACUUGCUUACACUGCUGAAUAACUUCACUUUAGCGAGUUGUAGGACAAACUACAUUCUAGAGGAGAAAGGAAACUUUGAAUAGAAGGAUCAGUAUCCGUAGCAGUCCUGGAUUUAGGUUAUGAUUGUCGUGAUGAGCUCUACUAGAAAGAAAAUCUCUUCUAUUCAUAGAUGAAGUCCUAUCUAAGGGCUUUCGCUGCCCUUGAAUUCCAUUCCCUAGUUCAAUCCGGAACUCCAGAUGUUUAAGUAGCGGCCAAGCGGCUCUGUCCUUUUCAAAGAGGUUAUCCUUCUCUCUCCCCGCUUCUUAGUCUUAUAGGAUAGCUCACCAUUCAAGUAAGUCACUUUACCCGGCGCUUACUGUAUUCUUUCUAGCCUAAUCGUUAGAAGUCCCUUUUUUGUAUCACCUUUCCUUUUCUUCUCUUUCUGCAGCCUCUCUGGCCAGCUGAAGGACGAAUAAAGCAGUUCAAGCCCGCUUGAGAACUAUCCAAGACCUGGCCGAUGGCUACUUCCAAUUCAAGUGCCACAUAUCUAAACCCAACUCGGGCUAAUCGACUCCCAGCCUAGCUAGACCUGGUGAAGGCAAUCAAGCCAAAGCAAAACUUAUUCCUUCAAUGGUAAGAGCUGCAUAUGAAAUAGCAGUGGUUAUGCUGACAUCUACUAAAAGAAGAAUAGUAUUAGAGUCAAGACCAGUGCUAUCCCCUUCCCCUGCUACGCUUCCUUACUCAACAAUCAAAGAAGCAUUUUCGAUUCUGCGAUCCACUCUCGUGCUAACAGCGGUUUACGUAAGCCAGGGGCUAAGCGGGAAUGCCCUAUCUAAGAGCCUACUUCCUUCUGCUCUUGGGGAUUCAUCUCUACCUUUUUCAUAAAAUGUAGUGGCCAAACCAGAUAGUCCAUUUCCUCUCUUUUCUCGCUCCUCAAGAAAGACGGCUAGAAACUUCCUAUUAGGAAUGGCUUCCUUUCAGGUUGUGUUGUUACUUAGUGGCCAAACCAAAUAGUCCAUUUCCUCUCUUUUCUCGCUCCUCAAGAAAGACGACUAGAAACUUCCUAUUAGGAAUGGCUUCCUUUAAGGUUGUGUUGUUAUAGACCAUACUGUUCCAACAGGGCAGGGGAGACGGAUAACUAAUCUAAUAAACUACAGCUAUGAUCGGGCAAUAGCGUUGAAAAGAUCAGACUAAAUGUGUGAAGGAUAUGGUUUUUGUUCUCUUCUGUCUCGUUCCUUCAAUCAAAGAAGAACCCAUGCCCCGGGCUAGUGCCAGCGCAUAGUCAGAGUCUUCCCUGCGUGCCUAACAUCCACUCCUUCUAGUCGAGUGCCUUGCGGCGCCUUUAACGAUGAGAGAAGGCGAUACCGAAGAGAAUAACUCAAGGGCACUGGCUACUCCAUCAACUCAAUUUCGUUUGGCACCUUUAACGUUGAGAGAAGGCGAUACCGAAGAGAAUAACUGAAGGGCACUGGCUACUCCAUCAACUCAAUUUCCUUGCGUCAGUGAGGAUGCCUGUCAUCAUAUCUGAACUUUAAAUCAUUCGGAGGCUCAUCUCGUCGAUUGGCAUUCCGAUCCUGGUCGUUCAUAGAUAGUUGGCGCUUUUAGUCAUAGGCUAUCGCCCAAUCCUGAUAGCCGCAGCUCUGCCCGUUUCCUAUUCCAUUAAAGAAUGAAUGGAAACUGAUCUGACAACAGCUGGGCAAAAUCCAUCUCUUUCCAUCUCUAUGUUCGCUAAACUUGCUUCCUUUCUUGCUUUCAUGAAGCCGACCUUAACAGACAUCUCUUCCAUUUUCGUAGAUGGAAGAUCCGGUGAAUCAAUUCAAUUAGAUGCCGCUUACCUAGAUGCGGUGCUUGUCCCUCGAAGCGAAGGUAAAGACCAAGACAUUGGGGAUUCUGAAUCUGACCGCACUUUCCUCAGGUCGAACGGCUAUCGAUCCUGGCCCGAUGAGAAAAGGGUUGAACUCAUACUUGCCUUAACCUAAUCUACUUGGAUCCCGGAUUCCAUUCCAUUUCCAUUAAGGCAUUCAUUCCCUUCAUGUUGUUGUACUCAUACUUGCCUUAACCUAAUCUACUUGGAUCCCGCAUUCCAUUCCAUUUCCAUUAAGGCAUUCAUUCCCUUCAUGUAAAGGAAGAGUUCAACAGAAGUCAUCUCUCUGACACUGGCUGUUCUUUCUACCUAAACUUGCGGCUUCUUUCAUCAAAGAUAGGUGUGAGCUAAUUUUCUCGCUAAACCCGUCUCUGAUCUUCUCUACUGUUUUGGCUGCUUUCUUGGGUGUAAGGUUCCUAAUGUUCUAACUCAGAAAGUAUAGUCGUUCUCUCUUCCUGACCCUUCGGCCAAGCCGCUUUGUCUGUUCAUUGGAUUGAUGUCUGAUAGCUUUUCCUUCUCCCCAACCGCUGUCAUGUCCCGCUACGCUAGUUCUACUGUGCUUUCCUUCCUUGGCCUAAGAAAGAAGGCUAGUCACUUCCCUUAUUCAUAGGGGCAGCAAAGAAUGAAGGCUAGUCACUUUUCUUAUUCAUAGGGGCAGCCCCUUUCCUAUCGAGUAGUCACUCUUGGCCUCUUUCUGUCCUGACUCGGAAAUGAACCCGAUGGUCAAUCUUUCCCUGGCUUGAGAGGUUUCAUUUCAGGUUAAGCAGGGGAUCAAGACUCUAAUGCUUUCAUUCCUUCAGCUUCAGAUAGGUGAAUCAAUGGGCUCAUUUCCUUUCUUUCUCUCGUCAACUGGGGAAAGGUUCCUCUUUGCUUUGAUUCGAUAGUUUUCAUUUCAGGUUAAGUAGGGGAUCAAGCCUCUAAUGCUUUCAUUCCUUCAGCAUCAAAUAGGUGAAUCAAUGUGCUCAUUUCCUUUCUUUCUCUCGUCAACUGGGGAAAGUUUCCUCUUUGCUUUGAUUCGGUAGUUGGAACUCUUUGUAUAUAAGUUAUGCCUAGGGCAAGACCCUUAGUAGAGAUAACGAAGGUAAUAAGAAAAGGAAUCCGGUCUUUGACGACCAGGUCUUAGCUAGCAAGUGUAUGGUCUCAUACUUUGAGGACUCCCUAAUGUGCCAGAUAGCUACUUUUGUCCCGUUUAAGCUGAAGCAUAAGAAUGACGGAUUUGUGUCUAGCAUGUGAUCACAGCCGGUACCGCAUUUCUUUUUUCUUGGGUGGCCCUGUGUAUGGGCGAACAAGACUGCCUACCCCUUAAAAUCAAUCUUCCUCCGCCCGAAUCAGAAUCAAAGUAGUAUCCACCUUCUUCCUUUGCCGGCAUCCUAAGAUCGAUCUCUUGACUAAGUCAUUUAACACGUUUCACUGAGAACAAGGGACUGAUCCUGUACCGUGCUACUGCCUUGACCUGGGAUUCUUUUCCUCACAACGGAUUCUGAACUGAAAAACGCAAUCUUUCAAUGAAGGAGAUUCUAAGACAUCAUAUUCUGUGGCAAAGAGGCCAUUCGAUGGCAUCCACGCCCGCAUGAAUUUCACUUUCACACUUGGGUAGCUAUAGCUACGGGGCUUUUCUAGCUUGAACGGGAAGAAAUUGAUGACGGAAAACUACUUCUUUUAGAAAACAGACUUGCUUAGUUCAACAAAAGGUCUUGACCAACAAAAAGAGCUUUUUCCACCAGUCUAUUAGGCCGGGCACCUUCUUUCUCUUCAUUUCAUUUCAGGAAGAAGAAAAAAGGCGAUGUUCUUCUAUCCAGUUGAGGAUGAAUAACAGUUCCACAUCCAGCAAGGAAGAAAAGUGCAUAAAUUGGAUUCCCGGCUGACUCUUCUUCUUUGAAGCAUUCAGAGAGAAUUAAGAUUGGCUUAGUCAGAUCUUGCCAGGCAAUUGCCUUUUUUCCACAAGAGAUUGCUCUCCUCCGAGGCUUGAGAGCUUAUUCCCUUCUUGUUCACCUUUCUUUUUCUUUACUUAUUUUCUUUAUUGAAUGAUUGGCUCAAUAGCUUUCUUCCUUCAAUUAGAAAAGGGGCUAAUGGAAACUCAGGAGCUUCACUCAGAGCUAUUAAGCUCUUUGGGGGUUUUUUUUAUUGAAUGAUUGGCUCAAUAGCUUUCUUCCUUCAAUUAGAAAAGGGGCUAGUGGAAACUCAGGAGCUUCACUUAGAGCUAUUAAGCUCUUUGGGGGAAGUCAGAAGUUCUUCCACUCGGAAUUGCAUCAGAGAAGAAAGCUCCACAGAAGACUCCGAAGGAGUAGGAAUUGGCUCACUAGGUUCUUCAACUAAAAAGUAGUCAAAUCGCAAAACUCCUUACUACAAUCCUCAUUCGAUGCCAACUUACUUAGGUCUAGCUGACCCAUCUUGAAGUCUAGCAACCCUUUUCAAGUCGGGAAUGCCACAUCAGUCUGAUAUUCUAAUAUGUUGACUUGCACCCAGGCCUAGCUCUCUGUGGUGGGGCGGUCUCGCUAGGUGAGAUAAUGAGACCAAAGCAUGAAAAAUCAACUGCCUGCGAAAUCAAUAGGAAAGCCUUGGUUAUUUGCUUUAGCAUCGACGGUAAACGGCAGGUUCUGUAGUCAAUUGCACUUGGUCACUUCCUGCUCUGUCGGGUCAUUUGAUCUUCUUAGUUCCACUAGGGCAUACUCUUUCAUAGGGUCGACACAGGUUGUGACGUCGGGUCCUCUCUUUUCUUCAUGAAUCUCAGUUGGAAGCCCCCAUUUUCAUCAGACAUCCAAUGAAGUAGUAGCUCGCUCCCUACCUAGCGGUACUUCCAUGGCUUACCUCUCGAGGUCCUCUUUGAAAGGCAGUUGCGAGAACCUGUCUUUAUUGAGUGGUCCUUUCUCGGGCAGCUACUGAGACAUAGGUCGACCCGAGCUUCCCUUGGAAUACCUUCGUUACCAUUACUAAAAAAAUUAAGUAGGAAUUCGUCCCGGAUAAACUACUGAUCUAGCUCUUUCGCAUCGAGGAAAACCCCUAUUUCCUCUUUCAGGUUAGGCGCCCUUUGCUCGAACGAAAGAGGGGUCUUUGCCGGGACCGAUGCUAGUAGUUAGAUUCAAUAUUCAAAAAGUCUUAAAUAGAAGCCAAAUCCAGUUGAGAAGAGACAAGCACGGUGACAAGGACCCAUGCUAGUAGUUAGAUUCGAUAAUCAAAAUUAGAUUCAAUAUUCAAAAAGUCUUAAAUAGAAGCCAAAUGCAGUUGAGAAGAGACAAGCACGGUGACAUCCAUCGAACGGAUCUUGGUCGAGAAGCGGCCCAGGUAAAGCCAGAUUUCAAAGGUAGAAUGUAUUGGUGGCACAUCGACCUAGAAUAAGGGCUCUAGUCCACGAUUCCUGGAUUCCAACCUUUCAAAGGCAAAGGAAGUCUCAAGCUGUAAAAGUAGGCCUGCCAUCGGAUAAGGGCUCUAGUCCACGAUUCUUGGAUUCCAGCCUUCAAAGGCAAAGGAAGUCUCAAGCUGUAAAAGUAGGCCUGCCAUCGAUACUAAGAGAUAGACGAGCUACCAUAGAUCCCUCAUCGACGAAUAGCGUACUUUCUUCUUAGAAUAUCCCUUGAAUAAGCGGAUGAACCACUUGAGCCUCCUUUUUCACUGAAUCCGCUCCCAUAUCUACAGAGCCCCGAAAGCUUAUAGGAUCUCUAGGCUGUAGAGAAAGGGCCUAUGAUGGAAUCAUUGAAUCUCAGCGACGCGGUGAAAGAUCUAAAAGAGGUGGAUGAUCCCAAGUAUUGCAAAUAUCACCGCAUCGUCAGUCACCCUACAGCAAGAUGCUUCGUCUUAAAGGAGAAGAUCAUGACGUUGGUGAGAGAUGACGCGGUGAAAGAUCUUAGAGAGGUGGAUGAUCCCAAGUAUUGCAUAUAUCACCGCAUCGUCAGUCACCCUACACCAAGAUGCUUCGUCUUAAAGGAAAAGAUCAUGACAUUGGUGAGAUGGAAAGAUAAUCAUUGACGCUAAUGACACGGCCGAAACGAACCACGCUAGUACUAAAAUCGAUCACAAGAAGGGAUCAACGUAAUAGUCUUCUCCAAGGUUCUCUAACAAGCAAGGAGAGAUCCACGAGACGUUCUUCCUCAAGAUCAAUCUGAAGUGCUGAUGGAAGUUCAUUGAAGAUUCAACACAUCACAAGGAACUCGUUUCGUUCGAGAAAUACACUACAUUGUCCCUCGAAUCCACGUGACGUUCUUCCUCAAGAUCAAUCUGAAGUGCUGAUGGAAGAUCAUUGAAGAUUCAACACAUCACAAGGAACUCGUUUCAUUCGAGAAAUACACUACAUUGUCCCUCGAAUUGAAGAAAACAAAAAGGAGUGAUCAGGAGAAGUUGUCCCUCGUGAUCAUCAGAAGCGCUACUAACACUUCCUGACGAUCAAGUAAAUCACAAUGAGGUCCACAUCAUCCUUUGCUCGAGAAAUACACUGCUUCAGCCCUGGAAUCAAGGAAAUUAGUGGAUACACAGAGUUGUAAUCACAAGUUUUAUUAAAAAAAGCAUUUUUCUUUACAUUUGUUUCGUGAUUGCGGUUAUUAAUUUCCGUACACGAAAUUUGUCGCGAAAAGUAAGCUAUCAAAUCAAUAUGACUGGUGGAAUGUGGUAUUGUAGGUAUUGGUUGGUAAGCUUGCAAUCAAGUUAUUGCUAUCUUAUGAGCAGCUUGCUAUACUCUAUUAGUGCCUCUCUUUGGUCUAUCAUAAGCAACCGAGCGGAAGUAGGUUUCUCUCUUUCUAUUUACUUAAUAUGCAAACUCGCUCCGAGCCGAGUCAGUGUUGGGGUUGGGUUGGUUGAUAGCCCAAAAAAUGAUUCUUAUCCUAUCCGUCAGGUUUGAAUGUACCCACACUCCUAUUUAUUAUUUUCUAGAACCUCAGGAACUAUCCUUUCCGGCUGCCCCCUCCCCCUGGCUUUGCCCUUGGGUUUGUCAACCAACCUGGCAUGUUCAGACAGGGGCGCCUCGGAGAUGAUGUAGUCGUAGUAGUCCUCUAAUGGGAAAUUUGUUAAGAUCCGCCCAUGAUUCAUGGAACCAUUCUUUCGUGUGUCGUAGCUUAGGAUUCGUGCUAUUGCUAUUGUUUAGGGUCUUCAAGACCGGGUUCAUACUUUUUCUUUUUGAUAAACAAGAGGUUACUGGACAAGCGAAAGAGAUGUCGAAAGAGCAGAUGCUUUUAUUUGAAACAAAUGCAUUACCCGAGACAUACCUCCUGCUAAUGAACACUAUUGACAAUGGGGUCCUGGAGGCCCUCGAUAAAAGUAAUAGAGCAAGAAAGAAAGAAUGGAUGAAAACAUCAUGGGUCGCACGCAAAAGAAAAUAGAGGAUAGCCAGAAUUGUAUUGUGGCCGCAGCAGCAAGAAAACAAUAAGAGCACGUCUUCCCAAACAAAGCAGCCUUCAGCAGGAGCUGCACUACAAUGCCUCAGCUCUGGGAACAGGAAGGAACUGAGCGCCCCGGCGAAUAAAGAAAACCUAGAACAAAAAUGGAAGCCUAAGCCUUCACAUCCGAAACUUAAAAAUCAUCAGUUGGAGAAUCUUUUUACAGGGUAGGCAUGGUGGCCUAGAACGAAAAUGGAAGCCUAAGACAUCACAUCCGAAACUUAAAAAUCAUCAGUUGGAUAAUCCUUUUACAGGGUAGGCAUGGCGAAGGCAGAAUGGAAAUAGAAAACAGCUAAAUGACUUAGUCUUGCCGUCUUCUUCCUUUAUGGAGAGAGGGCAAGAGCCCAUACUUGGAGCACGAAUUCAUACGUAAGAUGCCCAGUUGGAUCACUAAUUCGUAGAUGGACAACCUCUAUAAAGGAUCUCCCUCGAAAGGAGAAUAAAUACCAUUGUAGCUAGGCUCUGUUCUCUUGAAUAGGUAGGCUCAGUACGCUAAGGAAGCUUGGUCUGCUUAGGGCUCAUAGGAGGUAGGACAGAUAAUAGAAUUUCGCCGGCGACUAAGGAAGCUUGAUCUUCUUAGGGCUCAUAGGAGGUAGGACAGAUAAUAGAAUUUUGCCGGCAAGAUGAGUCUAGCAAAGCCUGACGGGCUUGAUGGUGGGCUUUAGAACGGUUUACUGAGAUUCCGUUAUACUAAAAUAGAAAGAAGUUGGUUCCUGGACAAGGUCCUAUCCUAGGCUUAGAGCUGAGCUAGACCCCUACCCCUAACUUAUUUCGGAAUGAUUUAGAGAGCUGCGAAUCAGGCUUUCAGAGCGGUGGCAAGCAGGGCAAGAAGAUAAAGUCCAAUCUGACCCUAAGCAAAUUUUUGACAUCUUUCUCGCAUCCGCUUUCAAGUUUUACAUGAAAUUAGAGAUCUCGUAUUUAAUGACGAGUUCGAGCCUUAGAAGCAUGCGAAGGAAUAAGGUCUGGAAUAAGUCUUGUAUGAGUCCUUUAAUCGAGUCCCUCUUCUUUAAUAGGUGCUUUCAAGUAGCAGGUUUUGAUUAUCUUUUUACGAUUACGAUUCCAGUAUUAAAUAUCUCCGCCUCCCCAUUCCUUUAUCAAAGUCUAGUACUUAUGGGCGCAAGUCAGUCCUAGCAGGUUUUGAUUAUCGUUUUACGAUUACGAUUCCAGUAUUAAACAUCUCCACCUUCCCAUUCCUUUAUCAAAGUCUGGUACAUAUGGGCGCAUGUCAGUCUCUUCAAGUGGAAGCAAACAUAGGGGGUUCGGGUUUGAGGUAAGCCUUCCUCUACCAUUGGUAGGCAAAAAAGGGGUAAGCGAAUCUGGCUGCCUUUGUUAAUAAGCAAAUUGGUAAGUAAGCGCAAACAGUAUGAAUCUCUUUCUGUAUUCAAGCCUGCUCCUGGUCGCUCGGACUCUUGUUGUAGUGUGAGCCUUGAAAGUACCCGAAGUUAGGCAAUCAGCAUGAAUUCCUUUAAAUGGAUCCCUCUUUCUUAAUGACUCUUCUUAGGGAGUAGGAUCUGUUGCCUAGGAGCUCAAAGAAAGAUAGCGAAGAAAUAUUUUAUCAAGUUACGCAACCGGCAUGAAUUCCUUUAAAUGGAUCCCUCUUUCAUAAUGACUCUUCUUAGGGAGUAGGAUCUGUUGCCUAGGAGCUCAAAGAAAGAUAACGAAGAAAUAUUAUAUUUUGAAAGCAAAGAGGAGUGUGGCGGUCGUGCAAGCUAGCGAAGUCGAAUAUAUUAGAUGAGCUUACUUAGUACGUUAAGACACCUAUUGUACAUGAAGGCUAUGUCAUUCCUGGACUAUUGCUAAUGAGAUUUAGAAUGUCCCAAGCUGGUUCCCAAUACCAGCUUAGCAUUCCAUGGUUCGCUAGAUCACAAUAGAUGUCUUUCAAUAAAGAUAGGUCAUUAACCGUUUCUUCCCCAAAAACCGCUUGGCAGAACUCUAUUGGACUCCAUUCUGGUGUAAAUUCAUUCCCACUUCCAUUCGUUGCUCAAAAAGAGCGGUGAUAUCAUUCAAAACUUGAGUGCUAGUAAUAUCCCCCGAAUUGGCGUCCGACAGAGUGCUACUAGUCGAACCUUCGUGGGACCUCAGAGAUAAACCUAAAUCCACCGGGGAAGAUGAAUUAGAAGGAGAAUUUGAAAAUGAAUUGGUUAUCCAUAAAGAGAAAGAAAGUUUUCUUCUAGUUCCGCUUCUUGCUCUUCCAAUUCAGAAAUCUUUGUCAUAAAAACUGGGUCAGUUGGUUGUUGACCAACGAAAAGCAUGGGAGAAAAAAAGAUGCACAACCUUCUUUGCUUGCGCAUCUUCUCAUAUGAUAUUUAUUGAAAAUUCGAGCCUUCUAUCAGAGCAAGUUUACAAAGAGGGUAACGUGCUUAGGCGAUACAUCAUGGCAAGUGACCAAAAGGGCAUUGCCGUGACCUCAACCGGUCGUGGAUGUGAGGAGGCUUCAACCAAAUCAGCCCUUCAUAUGAAGUGGCUAUGGAAAUUACCAAAGGAAAAGAACAAUCCAUGGUGCUCAUAUUUUGUUGCUAAGUGCCUCUCCAAUGGCAAAAAUGGAUUGACCAACCCACCUCUUAAAUAUCCUGCAUAAAAAAAGGGAUUAUUUCUUUUAAGAGAGACUUUCAGGCAGAACUUGGGCUAGACUUUGGUUGGGCAAUGGUAAGCUGAUUCGCUUCUGGGAUGAUGUUUGGCCGCGCCACUCUCCUCAGAUAUGCAUGCCAUAAUUUAUAUCAAAUAACAAGGUUCUCAUGACCUCAAAGUGAUUGACUACAUUCAAUAUAAAUGAGAAAAAAGAUUUAUCCCCCUACUCAACUACCCAUCCAAGAGUAUUUGGCUUCAGAAUACUUUAUUCUUUUUAUUUUUCUAUGGACUGCAUAAAUCUUAUCUUCCAGCCCGAAAGAGGAUAAUCUCUUUUGGCAGCUCAAUCCUCACGCUAAUAAUUAUGCCAAUUCUGCCUAAAAAUCUCUUCAUGUGAUCAAGGGGGCUCCCUUUUUCAGUAGAUGAGCUAAAAAAGGUAUUAUCUAAACGCUUCUUUUCUCUAGCUUGCUCUUUCAAACAAAAUUUUGGCCUGUAGUAAUGUUAUCAGGAUAUAAUCUCCUAAAUUCUUUUUUCUAUGAAAGCAAGAGGUGGAAAGUUUUAUUAGAAAUUCUGCCUUAUUCCAUGAGAUCUAGAAGCACUUCUGCUACUUUCUCUCUUCCCUAGCGCUAUUUUUUUUUUACUUUUUUCAAAGGGCAAUGAUGGCCUUCCUAAUAAGUCUCACUCGAUCGAAAUGAUGUAACACAUACGAAACCUUAGCUUCGCUGACUUUAUGAGGUCUAACCUUCGCCACGACAUUAGUGGCUUAGCUCUUCGCGCUUCCCGCAGGCUUUUUUAUAGAGAGAGAGUAAGGGGGGGGCGGCACGGAAGAUUGGUCCGCUCCGAAAAGCUGAGUUUUUCGGUUUUAAGCUCUUCGCCCAUUUUCGUAUGCUUUUUUAUAGAGAGAGAGAAUUUUAGAUACGGCAAGACACCUCAGGAGGAGUAGAAAGUUUCCAAAACCUAGGAGGGGUUUAUAGGAAGCCAAAAAAUGUGAGCCUUUUUUCAUACUUCUUAAAGGGGGAGAGCGCCAGGAGAAUGUCGAGACGCAAUCAGUUUGGAGCGCGAGGCCAGCCGAGGUUGCUGCAGAGGAGAUAAGAAAAGGCUCAACAAAGGGGAUCUGGUAGCUGUUAUGAAUGUGGAGGAGUGGGUCAUUUUUCUCGAUACUGUUCCAAUGUUCCGACAGACGAAUGCUGCUAGGGGAUUGCAGAAUAGACCAGCUGAAGAUGGAAGAGUGAUCGCUGUCGAGCCUAGAGCCCGGGAAGCUCUAAAGGUAUGUUAAUGUCGUAAACAUAGCGGGGGUUCUCAAGCUUAGGAGAGGAGACAGUUUCGCUGUCGUUAGAUUGUGUGGCAACGUCAGCAGAAAGGAGGAGAAGACGGAAGGCUGUAUUCAAAAUCUAUGUCGGAAUUGGCCAGUGCAAAGAUAAUCAUUGAUGCUGGGAGUUUGGAUAAGAUAGCGUCCACGGAGAUGGUAGAUCAGUUGGGGCUAGGGAAGUUAAAGCAGGACGUCUAGGGAGUUUAGAUAAGAUAGCGUCCAUGGAGAUGGUAGAUCAGUUGGGGCUACGGAAGUUAAAGUAGGACGUCUGGUGUGACGUCAUCCUUGUGGACGUAUUACAUAUCCUACUCAAAAGACUUUGGUGAUACGAGUAGGGUUCUACCAGCGUAGAGAGCGCACCGCUUUACUUUUAACAGGAAACGCGGUUAUUGCUAUCAGAAGACUUUUGUUGGAUAAGGAGAAAAGGUGUUAGUUGGCAUACCAUUUCUUGACGUGGGAAAGUUUCCAUUGAAUGAUAUGCCUUGAUAACAACAAAGCCAACUAGCAGAGCCGAUUUGGGGAUCGGUAGGAUGCCGUAGCUUUAUGAUACAGGGGCGGAGGCAAUCGGAAAGGCUUUUUAGGAACGAGGCCCCCUCCCUCCUAUGUUGUGAAAGGGAAGUGCAGAUCUUUAUCUUUCUGCGACACUCUUCCGACUUGAUGCCGCCCCUGAAUCCACAAGUACCGGCUUGAUUACCCCCUAAGAUAAGAGGAGGAUAUAGAAGCAGAUUUAGUUGCAGGUAGGAGCGAGUCUACCCUGCAAAGCGGCUUCUCGCUUAUCCCCAUUUGAAAAUGAGGAGAUCCGACCUACCCCCUAAGAUAGAGGAGGAUAUAGAAGUAGAUUUAGUUGCAGGUAGGAGCGAGUCUACCCUGCAAAGCGGCUUCUCUCUUAUCCCCAUUUGAAAAUGAGGAGAUCUGACGUCAAGUGCAGGAAUUGCUGUCAAAGAGGCGGGAGAGUCUCAGUCCGUGUUCAACGCCUACUUGAAUAGCUCAAAAGGAAGCAGUUGGAGUGUGUAGACGGGCUUUGAAUAAGAGUUGGGUGAUUUAUUUCCAAUAAUGCCAACGAUGGAUGAUAUUAUGGAUUAAUUGCAUGUCGGGAGCGUGUUACUUUUCAAAGCUUACCUUAUAUUAUUAAAGAAAGGGGAAAGGGGUUUUUUUUAUAGAGAGAGAGAGAGUAAGAAGGAUUUUAUGCGGCUUUGAAGCAUGGCCACUUAUAUUGCAAUACUUUCAGAGACGGGAUGGAAAGUCUUUCGUGAGAAGAGAUUGUAGGCUUGAUAUAGAUACAGCUGCUUAUCACCCACCUUAGAAUCAAGCAUUUCAGUUCGACUAUACCCGCCUUAAUUCCCUCAUUCGGGACAGAUGGAAGUAGGUUAUGGAUCUGUUCAAGUUGGUCGAUCAAUCCCUCCUUUCUUUCCCCGGCCUCCGGACACCUUAGGAUAGAAUUUAUUGGAAGGAGGGUGAGGAACGGACACAGUGGUUUUACUGCUGGGAUCCCAAUCGGCCUGCAUCAGCGGAAAAUGGAACUAUCGAAUUACGGGUGACUCGCUUUAUCGGGAUGGGAAGAAUUGCAACAUCUGCAUUUCAUUCCUUCCCUAAAUCGAUCCACUAGUAGGUAGUGAGAGAUCCAUUAUGGUGGGAUGGACCGUUCUCGAAUUCCGGCCGGCAUUUCUAUCAAUCGGCGGAAGACUCACGCAUACUGGAAGGGUACGAUUUCAAGCGGUGGACUCGAUCGAACGGCCAACCACUUGCUAUCUUUGUAGGAGAUGAAACCCAAAAGACCAUUACUAGCGUGUAGUAGAUUGGCCCGAGUGCGUAAUAGGCCAGUCGAGAAAAAAUAAAAUCAAUAGAUUAAAUAGUAGAUAAAAGAUCAGAGGAUGAGAGGGGUAGAUCUACCCAAUAUGGACCGAUAACGGAUCGUCCCCGCCAACUGCUUAUCUCUCUUCCUCGCAUUCCAUUCAUGACCUAACGACUAUCCCUCUUUCGGGGAGGGAAUCACUUGCUGGAUCGAACCCAAGGAUAGGUUUGAAACGGAUGGUCCCCGCCAACUGCUUAUCUCUCUUCCUCGCAUUCCAUUCAUGACCUAACGACUAUCCCUCUUUCGGGGAGGGAAUCACUUGCUGGGUUGAACCCAAGGAUAGGUUUGAUCGGCUGGGUGUUGGAUCGAAUGAACAUUCAACUGUGUCAUCAGGGCAGCGAUGGAUGUCCAACCUUUAGAUCUCUUCUUUCUCAAUAAAGGCGGGUAAGGAAAGUCCGAAGGCUAAUCCGGCAACUGCUGGCUAGAAGGCGAAAACCGCUUUUGCCAAUCAAAGCCCCAAAACUAGUAAGGGCACGAGUGCCCCAGCAAGCCACCCCAACCCUACCGUUGAUCCGGAAACUGCUGGCUAGAAGGCGAAAACCGCUUUUGCCAAUCAAAGCCCCAACACUAGUAAGGGCACGAGUGCCCCAGCAAGCCACCUCAACCCUACUGCAAAGCUUGAGAUUACUAAACAAGCAAGAAAGGCUCUUUCUAUCUUAUUAGUCAAGCGCUAACGAGCAAAAAAACGGAUAUGCCCUAAGAAGCAACUUCGUGCAGCUGCUGCGCCCUUGCUUCUUGCUUUAGAAAGAUUGCUCGUUAGCUAGGCCGUUUUCAAUAAGGCUCGCGCUAGGCGCUCACCUUUUUCGGCUAAGCCGUAUCGUAUCUUGCUGGGAAUGGAUUUAUUCUUGAAUCUUGCUUGGUUUAGGCAGGUAAGUGUUAAGAGGCUCUUGUUUGCUUUCAUUAGGUAUACAUAGGUACACACAGAACUUUCUUGCAAUACAUAGUGGUUGGCUUCAAAUCACAUGAAUCCCAUAUAGAUGUCCACUCCUAUUUCCUCUAAACUCUCCUUGUGGGGAACACAAUCAGUCCAUAAAACGACCUACUGAGUCAUCCACCAUUGCAUCUAUUUGAUGCAUCAUCACAUGGCCAUCGUGUAACUCCUCGAGAAUCAUGUCAUUCGCCUGUCACGUGUUGCCACCAGAGUCAUGAAUACUCGAAGUAAGCUCCUGGCUCGCCUCUAUCUCUAAAGGGACUUACGAACGAGCGGAGUCCUUAUGGCCGUGGUAGCUGCCACCCUCCUGGGUCUUGCUCUCUCAUCUUUUUUCCUCCGCCUUCCUCUUGUAAUUGACACUUUCUUUUCUGCUACGCCUAUCCAUUCGUCACAUUGACAUUCAGACGGGUGAGCGAUAGCGUCUCCUGUUUACUAAUAGAUCUGCCGCCGCUAGUAUAACAAAUAAACGCACAUAAGGAUCCAGAAUAUUAAUAUAUACUGAUCCCUGACCAGGAUCAUAUUAAGACCGGUAUUCCCAUAAAGGAUAGUCGUGAUGUCCCUUUAUGGCUGGCCUUUUUAGUAUGGAGCCGAAGGCGAGGGUUUCCAGCUGGCCCCCUUCUUUGGCUUUUCCUUUAUGUGAUAAGGGGGGUGAAGUAAGGAGUAGUAUAAGAGUGGUUAGGUCAUCGAUAAGCCUCUCCUUAUUCAUUCUAUAGGGCGGGGAUGCGGACCAACAAUCCAGCAAAAGGGCUAAAAAGAUCCUUUAUUAAUCCUUCCCCUUUUAAUAAUAAGAAGGUAAGCAUCAAAGCCCAGAAAACUCAACCUAUACAAAGAGCUCUUUUCAGCCCCUACUCCUAACAAGUGAAAGUUGCUGGCACCCACCAUAUCUUGCUUCGGGGCCGAUCUCUUGUAUCGGAGCAAACAAAUUCAAUGAUUUUCUAUAUUCUAUUUAUUUCUUUUUAUUGUUGAGUUUUUUCCACCACAAACAGAUUUGCCGCAUAGGGCCGAUUUCUUGUAUCGGAGUAAACAAAUUCAAUGAUUUUCUAUAUUCUAUUUAUUUCUUUUUAUUGUUGAGUUUUCUCCACCACAAACAAAUUUGCUGCAUGGAUUGGAUAGAGUCCCCUGAUCUCGACAUUCAAGCACGAAUCCCUUAAGCGCUUCGGCGGCGGAUAGCAGUAUGGGCAAAGCACUCUGCUGUGGUGAGCAACUGGUUCUUAAUGCAUUCACCACGAUAGCCUUGCUCGCUCCUGAACUCUGCGGCGAGUUCAGCCACCACCUCCAGGUCUGAGCUCUACUCGAGUGUAGUCAGCCAGCUUCGUGGCUUUGCUUAGCUUCCAGCGUUGCGAAGGGAUAACCUUUCACUAUCUAUGCGCCCUCGAAUGAGGGAUCCCACGGACUUCUUCCCCGAAGGUCAAGCUGUAAAUCCUGUCCCUGGGACUAGUGGAAGGAGUUAGGACGAUGGAGCACCCUUUGAGACUUCUUCCCCGAAGGUCAAGCCGUAGUUCCUAUCCUUGGGAGAAGUGGAAGGAGUUAGGAGGAUGGAGCGUCCAUUUCCCUAAGAAAUAGGCGGCUUUGCCUUCAAGCCUUCAAUAAAGUCGAGCUAAUAUGUGAUCCUGACAGUACACUGGUGCAUAGGUCUUCUUUACUUUACGGCCUUUUGAUUAUGAUGCAUCAUGAUUGUGCCAAUAUGUGAUCGGGGUGGAGCGGCUCACCCCCUUGUCACUUAAAGGGCAAAGUCCCCGAAGCGAGUCUAAAGGACAAAGAGUCAUCUUUGAAGGCUACUAUGCAUCCUUAUUCAUAGUAGAGUGUAAGGUAGGUUUGGGUAUAGCAGGACUUGAACCUGCGACCAUUAGGUUAAAAGCCCAAUGCUCUACCAACUGAGCUAUACACCCCAAAAAAGAUGAAGUAGUAAAUAAGGAUUGGUACGGAAAAGAGGUCAGCCCCCCUUCUUCUCAUCAUAUAAAAGGAGCGCGGCUCUGUAUGAGGCUCGUACUGCAGAGCAAGAUGAAGAAAACAUAAGGUCACGCGUUAGCACUCCUACAAGAAAACGGAUGCGCUAAGACGCAACUUCGCGUAGCUGCUACGCCCUUGCUUCUUGCCCCUUAUUUCAAACUCAAGGAAAGCCUUGAUCGAUAUGAGAAAGAUGCGCUCAAGCGCCCAACCUAGUAAAGGGGCUUGGGCUCGAAAGGCGGCCUUACUCCACAAGCACCUUUCUUAGUAAGGUUGCUUGUUUCCACUCAUUGAAGAUUCUAUCUAGAAAUGAAGGUCAACGAGGGAUACUCAAAUAGCUCUCACUGACACCAGAGAAGGUGAGGUCGUCUUUCUUUCCAGCCGCCAUACGGUUCGCCUUAAAGCCUUAAGGAUCAGGGGAGGAGCAGUUAUCUAUGUAAUUACGUUGUUGGCCGUUGUUCCGGUCGAGCACUCUCUUUUCUUUGUCCAAUUCCGUCUUACCAAACAAGACUGACUUCUUACCAACCCGCGAAGGGUUGUGAGGCUGGACCAGGUACGAAGAAUGAAUCUAUAUCUGUGCACGGAAGUUGCUGGCCGGCGGCCGCUCAACUGUUCGAGCGCAAUGCAUCUUACCAACCUGCGAAUGGUUGUGAGGCUGGACCAGGUACGAAGAAUGAAUCUAUAUCUGCGCACGGAAGUAGCUUGUCGGCGGCCGCUCAACUGUUCGAGCGCAAUGCAAUGGCGUUGGUUCUGAUUCGACAAAGGUAGAAUGCCUGGUCGAAGGUCCAGUAUAGUACGUAGUAGGCAUGUUCAUUUUGGCUUCUGAGCUAGAACGAUAAAUAGGCGAUGCACCAUCCUUGCUGCUACGUACGUUUUCCUUGACUUGAUAGAUUCAUUCAAUUGAACCCACACUCAAAGGAGGACCACAAGCUCGGGGCUUGACGAAACGGAAAGUUUCAGCAUGUUGGAACUUCUUGGGGUAGCAGUGAAAGAAAGAGCUCGUCAUUCAUUUCUUCAUGAAUAUUCUGACGAAACGGAAAGUUUCAGGAUGUUGAAACUUCUUUGGGUUAGCAGUGAAAGAAAGAGCCCGGCAUUUCAUUUCUUCAUGAAUAUUCAAAGCUGAGUCUACUAAAAGAGGGACCAGCCUUGUCGUGGUGAUUAGAGGACACCUCUGAUCGUUCACCUAUAAUGUGACACGUUCCCUCCUAGUUAUAUGAUCAACGAGAUCAGUCGGCUAGAGAGCGGGGAUAUUCUUCUUCCGUGGAGACAAAGUCUUCCCUUCUACUGACCGAACCCUCAGUUUGGCGGCAUUCCUCAACAUGUUACGGAGCUCUAGUCUUCGGUGGGUCACCAUUACUUUACUUAGAAAGGUGAACAUCCUUGCAAGGGAAAGCGCAGUGCGCCUGGUGCAAAUGGCUUUCGUUUUUCAUGAUAUACCAAUCAGAAUGGAGGGUCCUACCAACGUGCAUGAUUGAUAAAAUCACUACAUAGGGGGGGCGGUCAACUUGACGCGGGAGAGGAAUGAGUGCAGUUCGAUCUUGUGGUGUAUUCGUUUGUAGUGAUUAGGGCCUCUUUCUCGUUGACCAGUUCGCCUCUGCUCUAUUGAAAAGUAGGAAUUCCUAUGGCGGUUUUGUCAACGAACGCGUCUCGGGCUGGAUUGACUUACCUAACCCACCCUUAAGGAGGCUUUUCCAUAGUUGGGUGUCCGCUUUAGUGUGAUUUAUGAAGGCUAGUCUAGGUUUGGCAAUAUCGAAAACAAAUGAAAAGAGGUCGGGGUCGAUAAUUGGCAGUUGGCAAGGAACUUGAUCCCCCCCAAAAAAAGGGGGAAGCCGCGGUCGAACUCUUAUUCUGGAAAUAAGUCGGGGCCCUUUUACCAAGUCUACCAGAUAGAAGAUGAUAGAGGGCCAACUAUCGUUGCCUUGCACAAGACGGUGCCCUUUCACUUCGAGUUCCAAAUAAGUCGGGGCUCUUUUAACAAGUCUACCAGAUAGAAGAAGAUAGAGGGCCAACUAUCAUUGCCUUGCACAAGACGGUGCCCUUUCACUUCGAGUUCCUUCCUUCAUAGUUAAGUCUGAUGAUACGCUUUGGCGAUGUUACCUACCAAAGGCCUGCUAGGUGAUCGAAAUCGCUCAGGUCAGUGAGGACUCACUUACUCACCUACUCCUUAUCUAUUUAAUACUUUCUUCUAUCUACUUAAUUUAUAAGGCGACCCACCACGCCGGGCUAUAAGAUAAGAUACAUUUCUUGUACUACUUGAUUGACUGGUAAGAAAGAGCUUCCGUAAGAACUGGAGGACUCUUGUAUGUACGGUAACCCUCUCUUCCGCUACUGGUGGACUGUUGCACAGGAAGGGCGACAGAAGCAACCUUUCUUAGUGCGCUUUUCAAGCGCUUAGCUUCUGCUAGUGGCUGGGCGGCAAGGCCAUGUUGUUCAGUUGGAAGCCUAAGCCAAGAAGGUACGAACGAAGUGACGGGCCCCUUUAGAAGAUAGGGGGCGGCUUUCUUGUGGUAGUAAUUGCGAACAUCUCUCCUCUUCUCUUAGCGUGCACAGUUUGCUUACAUGCCGCCUUAGGCACAUCUCUCUUUCUUAGUUUCACGCUGGACUAAUGAUAAUGAAUGAAAGUCAGUCUUUUAGUAAACGUAUAUAAGCAGCUGUUUAGUGUAUAAGCAAUUCUUUAGUGGUCGCACCGAAAGUACGGUGGAGGUUGGUUGAAGAUGAUGUUAGGCGGCGUUCAGAAGCAGUCUUGAAGUUAUUGAAUUAGAACGAAGUAAGGAAAUGAGACGACUCUUUCUUGAACUAUCUUAUAAACAGAUCUUCCCCUCCACACCAAUCACGAUUUUUUCUCCAUUCCUCUCGUAUAUCGUCGUAACGCCCUUAAUGCUAGGUUUUCAUAAAUACAUUUCAUGUCAUCCCAUUUAGGUCCGAUUCGAAUCCCUCCGUUGUUUCCUUUUCCUUCCGCACCUUUUCCUCGAAAUGAGAAAGAAGAUGGUACACUUGAAUUGUAUUAUUUAAGUGCUUAUUGCUUGCCAAAAAUCCUACUUCUACAAUUGGUAGGUCACCGGGUUAUUCGAAUAAGUCGUGUUUUCCGUGGUUUUCCCAUGUUACAACUUCAGUAACAAUUCGGUCGAUCCGGAAUGGAUCGGUUAAACUCCAUUAGGGAGCCUGGUCUUGACUCUUCUGUGUGGUAUUCAUUCUCGUUCGGCUCUUGGAAUCACAUCCAGCAGUGGUUGGAACAGCUCGCAAAAUCCAACCACUUCACCUACUUCAUUGCCCCCAACCGUUUCUCGUACCUCUAUUGAAACAGAAUGGUUUCAUGUUCUUUCAUCGAUUGGUUAUUCCUCUCCGUUCGUAUCUCUUUUUCCAAUUUCGGUCUCGAUUAGUGCUCGCAAAAUCCAGCCACUUCACCUACUUCAUUGCCCCCAACCAUUUCUCGUACCUCUAAUGAAAUAGAAUGGUUUCAUGUUCUUUCAUCGAUUGGUUAUUCCUCCCCGUUAGUAUCUCUUUUUCCAAUUUUGGUCUCGAUUAGUUCACAAGAUUGAAUGGCCAAUUCUCUUCUGAACCCUCGAUUCGAUUGUUUUCCAAGAAUGUUGACCCGGGUAUGUAAGCCAUGUAUCUUGAUUAGGGUUGAAUGGCCAAUUCUCUUCUGAACCCUCGAUUCGAUUGUUUUCCAAGAAUGUUGACCCGGGUAUGUAAGCCAUGUAUCUGGGAGGAACUUAAAUAAAAGAAGGGCUUUCGGUUUUUUGCACCUCGUUUUGGUCUUGCAGCUAUUUUAAGAAUAUAUGUAUAUAAGAAUCCCUUUUUUAGAAGAAAGAUUAUAUAUAUGUCCAAUCUCUAGUUGUGGUGGAACCAACAAAGAUGUAUGUCGUCCGACCCGACCUCAGACUCUUUCUUCCCAACCUAUUUGACUCUCUGGCCGUAGUUAUUUAGGUGGUAUUCCGAGAUCAAAUUCCUCCCAGGAACACACGAAACAAAGAUAUGAACUGGGUAAAUAGAAAUGGAAAAGAGAUGUUUCUAUUUCAUCCAAAUUAGAAGCUUUUUCUACAUCCAUAUGAUCUACUAAAGUACAUCUGUAAUGACCAUAUUAUAAAAGCAGAUCUUUGUCCAUGGAGUCCCAAGAAGGUAAGAACUCCAACAUGUCCGAUGCUUCUUCGGAAAAAUACAAGAUACACGUGGGACCUGCACUUGAGCAAGCUGUGUGAAAAACCGCUUCUUUUUUUCAGGUUCCGAAACAACUUGGGUGAAAUAGGGUUCUACCGGGAAACUAAGGAUUUUUUAGUUUUCGCCAUUGCUUACUGGUUGAGCCACUAGAAUGGAAUGAGAUAAGAAUCCCUGGAGAUCUUUCCUCUCUACUUACUCGUAACAGGCUUUUCUUCUGUAGAAGACUUCUUCCGAAUGGCAUAAUUGUCCGACACUACGUUCCUCGAUCUUCAAAGAAAACUGACUCCUCCUACUCUUCCUUCUCCUUUAGGAUAGGAUCCUCCUUGGUCCUUCUUUCACUAAUGGUCUCACUAUUUUCUAGUAGUAGUAGUUCGCGCGAGGGACUCUCCUUUCUAUCGCUUGCCCUUGCCUUUCACUCUCAUUUGGUCUCUUUCUUCUAUAAAAUAAAGCGAAGCAAAGCGCAUGGCAAAGAAGCAGCCAGCUGCCUGCCCCCUUCCACUCGGCCUUUCUUCGCUGUGUGAAUAAGGUCUUAGUCUGUAUGGGCAUUCUGGGCAGGUCGCAAUAAGUCGCUAGUCGAAGGUUUAGACCAAUCGCAAUUCAUCACCAUCUUGCCCGCUUCCAAUUGAUGACUGGCUAUUAUAUAAGUGUUGACAAAUUCAUCACCAUCUUGCCCGCUUCAAAUUGAUGACUGGCUAUUAUAUAAGUAUUGACCUAAGCCCCUGCGUAGGGGCUCGGCUCCCGAACCGUACGUGAGCUGUCUCGUACGGCUCUUCCUAAGAACUUGAAGCCCCCUCUCUCUAAAUAGAAAAAAAUGCAUUUACAAGACAAAAAAGACUUUUUCAAAAAGCCUUCGCCCUCCUAUUCAACGGGGCUAUUAGAGAAGCAGCUUCGUUCCUUGACUUCUUUUCUCAGUCAAGCUUUAAAAUGCAUUUACCAGACAAAAAAGACUUUCAAAAAGCCUUCGCCCUCCUAUUCAACGUGGCUAUUAGAGAAGCAGCUUCUUUCCUAGACUUCUUUUCUCAGUCAUGCUUCCUUGUUCCUUAGUGUAGUCUCAGUCCAUAGUUGUUGACUCCGUUCAUUAUAGCCUAGCCUAUAUCCAUAGCUGACGUGACUCUGUACCGACGCCUUUCCCUUUGUUUAGUAUACGGCUAAGUGACUUCGUAACGUCAACGUACUUUUUUUCUUACUGUAGCAUAGGCCUUCGUCGGGCUUUAGUCCCUUCGCCUAUAGACGGCGGCUUGGCUUCGCUAUCGCUCAUGACUUGGUAUAGAGCCGUGUAGUCGUCGGUUUUACCACCAGAAUGCCUAUGAGAUAGUGGUCGGCCUUUCGAAUGCCUUCUUCCUGACUUUUCUGAGAAGCCCUUUACGACUAUACUAUACCACCAGAAUGCCAAUGAGAUAGUGGUCGGCCUUUCGAAUGCCUUCUUCCUGACUUUUCUGACAAGCCCUUUACGACUUCUAUAAAAAUCAAGGGGGUGUUAACCUUUGGAAACAUAGCUACUUAAGUCCUUCUCAGAAAGUCAGAGUAAAGGCGAACGGCAUUCUGUUCUACAGCAACAACACUGAAUAUUUCUUAUUAAAAUUAAACAUCUUAAUAGUAAAACUACUUUCGUACUACUAAACAAGGAAACCUUUGGUUCCCUUUGAUUGAAUAAACGCCACUUAUUUUAGUUUACAUUCAAACCAAAGUAAACCAAGCCUAAGCGGUUAUGACAUCUUAUUGAUAUUGAUUGAGGAGUUUGAUGGAGUUUAGCUGACUAAAUCCAUAAACCUAGAAAGUUGCCGUCACUGGUACUUUUUUAUUUUAAUUUGAUUCAAUUGCCCUCUCUACUCAAUUGAUUGAAUAUAGUUGCGUGAUGCAGCAUAAGUGCAAACUUGAUCUAAGGAAGGAGGGGGAACGCGAAAGCAAGGCUAUUCCGGGGCGUCAAGCGUUUGUUAGGCCUAUCUGCCAUGAAGAACGCAUAAGCGGGAAUAGGCUAAAAGGAUGCUUAUAAGGCAUGUAGAGGGCAUGUUUUCGGCUGGUCAUAACAAGAACUCUUAGGUUAGCGGUCCGCCCUUAGCCCAGUACUUAAUAAAGGGAGGCAAGGCAAACUUCUUAUACGUCGAAUUCACGAAAAUAAUCAUAUGUGAAAUCGUCUGAUGAAGAGUUCUGUAGCUAGACGAUUUUCCACGUGGAAUUAAUUAUGAAAAUAGUAUGGCAGAAUGGUAUGAUUAUACGACUAGAGAACAGAUAACCAGGAAAGAAAGGGAGAACCGACCGGGGCCUUGCCCUUACUUUAGCUUUAGGAAGAAAUCCAGACUUUGGAGCUCAGCUUAGGGAUCAGAUAUCGAUAUCGGAAGAUCAGGCCCAUCACUUUGGGGCCUUGCCCUUACUUUAGCCUUAGGAAGAAAUACAGACUUUGGAGCUCAACUUGGGGAUCAGAUAUCAAUAUCGGGAGAUCAGGCCCAUCACUUCUUCUUGACUUCGAUGAUUUGCCUGCAAGAGGAUCAUCAAAGGUUGGAGAAAGAGAUAGAAGCUGACUAGAGUAGGGGGUAGAGGGGCUUAUUUAUUGUAAGGCGUCUAGAAGCCCAAUUUUUGUCAUGUCUUAUGGGCACACAAAUGUUCACAAAGGAAAAGGCUCUCCAUGGGCAGCGUCUACUUCAGCUCAAAGAAAAUAGGCUGGACGUCUUGAAGCGACGGAGAAUUCUUUAACUAUUCGGUGUCGGCAUCUUCUCCUACUUUUAACUGUUCUCCUCACCAGGCAAGGUAAUCGGCUAACCGGGAAUUCAUCUUCGGAGCUAAGUCCCAAGGAGACAGGUUGAAAUGUAUGGGCGUAGGUUAGCAUCUCGUCCUACAAAUGAUAGCCUUUGAAAGCCGCCACGGGAUGCGUUGUGCGGUAGUAGUUUAUGUUAGCUUCUUAUCCGGUGCCUUCUUUACGACUUUCGACCAAGCCAUUAUUGAAGAAACUCUUGUUUAGUCAAAACGUCGUUCCCGUCCCUUGUGGUGCUUUUUCAACCCCUUGCUUUGACUUGGUAUAUUUCAUCUGGAUUCGCUCCAAUUCCAAAAGAUACCGUAUUAUCUGCAUCACCAGUUCUAGGUGUGUACUAUGUUCCAGAGCCUUUAGUUUAGUUGCAGAGCUAGAAGCUACUAUACAUAGAUAGUGCCCGAUUUCUAUAUCCUGCCUGCGAAUCAAAACUCUUAUCUCUCUAGCUCAUGAAUAAAUAACCCGCAAGAAAGAAAUAGCCGGAAUAGAACGAAGGAAUGAUUCAAUCAUUCAUCAUUUCAGAGCCGACGCCUCUUUUUCUGCCUUUCUAUCUAUACUUCCCAUCCCAGCAAAUUAUGGAACAAGCAAUGGCUUUCGCGCAAAAAAGUCUUUUUACUGGGUCUCGCUUGCACGUUUCUGGGUUUGACCUUUCAUCCAUUAGUCUCACUAUGUUCAACUAAGCCACUUCAUCCCUAGACUCGGAUUUUCACGCCUUUCAAAACCUCAAAGGCGCAAUCCAGUUAGGGGUGGAACUGCGUUUUAUCGCUGCCAAGCUUCCGGUAGCGAGAGCACGACCACUUAUAACCGACUUACUUGAUAAUGCCUCCAUGUUUUAUCGCUGCCAAGUUUCCAGUAGCGAGAGCACGACCACUUAUUACCGACUUACUUGAUAAUGCCUCCACCCUUUCUGACAUCUACCAACUGAGUGAUAAAUUGGAUAACCCAUCCAGUCCGCUAUCGCAUCGAAUUGACGAAUUCAUUCUGUUGUGUAAAACCAGUAAAGGUGGUGGUGCUCAAACAUCAAGUGGGGCUGGGGAGCGAAAUUGCUAGUUUUCUUUAUAUUCUCAUUGAAGAAAAGCAAAUUUACGAGGUUUCAAGAGCAUGGUAGCUCGACCAUCGGUAGAGUGGCAAAGCUGUGAACGAAUGGGUUAUUCAAAAAUGGGAGGCGGGGAUCGCCUCUAACAAAUGUAUGCUUUCGAGUCUAGAUUUUCACUCUUGACUUUCGCCAUGUAAGGAAAAAGAUUGUGGUUCGAUUCCACAGCGUGCUUCUUUUAUCCCAUCAACCAAUGCCUGCUGCACAGAAAGAAGAAAGAGGCUCUAGGUUCUAGUAUAGAUAGGGAGUGAAAGUUCAUAACAUUACUUAGGAUGGGAAAAAGUGGUUGAUGCUAAAAAAGACAGGGAUUCAUCAAGCUUUUACUUUUUCGAUCGAUCUCACCGACAGAUGAUCGAAGGCCUUAACUAGUAAAAUAUAAAGAAAGAUCUUUAAGACAAUUAAAUAAACUAGUCAAUUUCUGGUCACUAAAAAGUGAACAUCCUUCCUUCGACAGUCGAAAAGUCUCGUAGGCGGUCUGAGGAUACCAGCUUCGCGGGACCGCAGUCCAACUCAAGGCUAAGCUUUACGGUCCUGCCGCUUUCUCGAUCAACUAACCGAACUCUUGAAGACAAGGAAAGGGACUGAUUCACAAAGGAGUCCGGCACCGACCCGGAUAGAUGAUGCCCUAUCGCACUCCCUUCGAUCCGCCAGGACAAGGAAAAGGACUGAUUCACAAAGGAGUCCGGCACCGACUCAGAUAGAUGAUGCCCUAUCGCACUCCCUUCGAUCCGCUAUCAAUCCGCUUGAUCAAACAAACGAAAACAGUCAAGUGAUGCUUCUCUUUUAUUGUAAUCUUUUAGCAGGGAGCUUGGGAUGGGCCCAAGUAAAGGCCAGCUAGUGUCCUAUAGCGCGCUCCCUUUCUUUUGGUAUCUUUCGCUUGGAACCUAAUCCGCGAAAUGGAUACAAAAAAGGUGGCAAGUUUUUUCUCAAUCGAGAGUCAUUUCCCUUAGUGACUGACGAAUGGAAUCAACCAUGAAUCGUUCGCUUGGAACCUAAUCCGCGAAAUAGAUACAAAAAAGGUGGCAAAUUUUUUCUCAUUCGAGAGCCAUUUCCCUUAGUGACUGACGAAUGGAAUCGACCAGAUCUUUACCUAUCUUAUUUUUUGUUGCUCUCUUUUGUUCCAACGAAUGUCGUAUCUUGCUUAUCCUGUGCCCUCUCUUUCAAUCGCAGCCCCUUUCAUCUUUUUAACUCGAACUGUGGUACACGACCUCCUUUUACUGGAAAGACCUCUAUUGGACUGGGAAGUAGCGCGAGAAAGUAUGAAAUGCUCAUUUUCUAGUUAAGUAGAUCCUUUGUAAUGUGUAUUCCUCCCUUCGCAGUACGGAAAGUAUGUAUCUAUAAGGAAGUCUCGGGGCUCGCAAGUACACGAUUGUUUAGGUGUGUACUAAAAGCGCUUCCUUUAAUGCUAGCAUGUAUCUGAACCCCCUUUUCAUAUCUCGGAGAAGGUAUGCAAGCAAGUCAUCUGUGCUAAUAAGUCCCUGCCUUUUUUUUAUGGGUAAGACAUGGGUUAAUAAGGACGCUUUUCACAAAUUCCCGUCUUUCUCGAUCGAAAGCUAAGCGUGCCAAACCAUCUAACCAAAGUCCUAUUUUUCAAUGAAUGGAGCCAAGACAAGCUCAAGUCAUCCGGGAUAAGAGAAGGUCCUAUCCUAAUAAGCCGGGGUAGGACCGGUCGAAUAAGCAGUAAUUCAUCUUUGCGUAGAUGAAGAAUGGGCUACUUCCUCACAGAUUGAAGACUUUAAUACCAAGAAAGAUCCUUCUGAAACAUAAUAUUUUACUACCUCAAUAAAUGCCCGAGAGCAUUCAAUAAAUCUUCUCUUCCUCUAUCUACCCCAGCCUCGGUUCGGUCGGUCAUGGGGCUUCCCUCUGCCAAGAAUUGAGAGAAGACAUUUCGCUUUUACUCAGUACACAGAUUCGGAUUUGUCAAGGGGCUUCCCUCUGCCAAGAAUUGAGAGAAGACAUUUCGCUUUUACUCAGUACACAUAUUUGGAUUAGUCAAAAUAGAACUAGAUAGAUCAAGGUGCGGAAGGCAAGCAGCAAAUCCAAUCCUUUUAAAAGAGAACCUGAAUCCCCUCUUUCUGCCCUACUUCAUGCCAAUCACUCUCCUUCCUUCCCCAAGAGCCAACCAUGGCAUGGCAUUCGAUGCAUCAAAAAUCUCAUUGCCUUCCUCUAGAGCAUCGGAUUCAAUAGCAAGGGUUAUUCAACUAAGACCGGAUUCUGUAGCAGAGGAGAGCAGGAAAGAGACAACAGUCCCUACUUCAUGCCAAUCGCUCUCCUUCCUUCCCCAAGAGACAACCAUGGCAUGGCAUUCAUGCAUAAAAAUUUUCAUUGCCUUCCUGUAGAGCAUCGGAUUCAAUAGCAAGCGUUAUUCAACUAAGACCGGAUUCGGUAGCAGAGGAGAGCAGGAAAGAGACAACAGCGGUUAUUCUAAUUGAAUGUCAACCCGCCUAUUCUGAUUCACUUUACCCAAUAAAGGGCUAUGCGAAAUAGGGAUUGCUGCUUCCACUGCGCUACCUUCCUAAGCCCUUACUCCUUUUCCUUUUGCACCUGCCUUGUCGAAGUAGAAGAUGUGGCAUUAGUUCGAAAAUACUUUCUUAAAGUGGCGAAUCGGCUUCUCCCUAACAGGGCAUUCUAUGCAUCUUCAGCUAGCUUUCCCCCGCCGCCUACUAUUAUUCACAUUACCUAAUAAAGGGCUAUGCGAAAUAGGGAUUGCUGCUUCCACUGCGAUACCUUCCUAAGCCCUUACUCCUUUUCCUUUUGCACCUGCCUUAUCGAAGUAGAAGAUGUGGCAUUAGUUCGAAAAUACUUUCUUAAAGUGGCGAAUCGGCUUCUCCCUAACAGGGCAUUCUAUGCAUCUUCAGCUAGCUUUCCCCCGCCGCCUACUAUCUAGCUGCAAUCCUUCCCUUAACCCUAAUCAUGCUUAAGACAUGGAAUUGGAUGCUUCUUACCCCAAAAGUCAAUGCGCCGCCUUCUAUCUAGUUGCAAUCCUUCCCUUGACCCUAAUCAUGCUUAAGACGAAUUGUAUGCUUCUUACCCCAAAAGUUUAUAAAUAGAAGAGUGAGGAGGUAUUUUUUGGCAAAGCAAGACCUAUUAGCUCGCCUAAAGGUCGUAGCGGAAGAAUUCCUCAUGUGCAAGCUAUUGGGGAUCUAUUCUCAGGAAGGAAUGAAAGGACUGACUUUCCUUAGCUAGUAACAUCUUAAUCUAUGAUCUACGAAUAAGAAAUAGGAGCAUCUAUCCGAGUAGCAGUCACUAGGCGGAGAAGAAGUCAAAGGCGAAUAUCUCUUUUCCCCCCUCUUAAGUCAAUGCUUUGGCCUUUGUCUUUUUUGACCUUUAAAUUAGUUUUUUGCAUGUGUAGGGGCACUUUUUUAACCUAAUCGAUAGUUGUUACGAUGAUUCACACGUGGGACAGAUAUGAAAUCUCUGAGCAGACUUAAAUCCCUUACUUUGCCAUUCUUUCCAGAAUAGGAUUUUGCUUAAUAUCAUUUGGAUGGACUCAGAUCCUUUCAUGUAGGAGAGUCUUUGAUGGGCUUUGAAUUUGGAUAGAUCCAGUGGGCCUUCUUGCAUGGACUUGGGCUUGCUUACUGGCUUCGCUACAGAUCCUUUCAUGUAGGAGAGUCUUUCAUGGGCUUUGAGUUUGGAUAGAUCUAGUGGGCGUUCUUGCAUGGACUUGGGCUUGCUUACUGGCUUUGCUGAGGAUGGGAUUCCCUAACCGAUGAGUCUGGCUAGGCUAUUAGGCACCUUUGGUCUAGGCUUUCUCAGGCCUAUCCAGAAGUCUGAAGUUCCGUCUACAGAAGGUCUAAUUCUGAGCCGAAGCUCUAUUUAUUGCCCUAUUCCCUUUCCUGACCAAAGUCACUAAGGAGGGGCCGGGGCGGACUGCAAUUCGUCUGAGCUUAGUUGAAGUUCCAUCUACAGAAGGUCUAAUUCCGAGCUAAAGCUCUAUUUAUUGCAUUAUUCCCUUUCCUGACCAAAGUAACUAAGGAGGGGCCGGGGCAGACUGCAAUUCGUCUGAGCUUAGUCUUCUUUUCUGAGAUGAUUGGAGGCUGGGGAAAGGGAAGUCUUGAAGAAGGGCCUUCCUUACGUAGGGGUGAAGAAAGGUCCUUCUCUUAAAUAAGAGGCGCUAAUAAAUGAAAAAGAAAGUCUUGAAGAAGUGAGAGAAGGAAUCAUAAAAGAAAUAGCUUUCGACUAAAGACGCAAACGAUGAGCAAAAUUCCGCUUUAAUAAAGUAGCUCGGGGGAACCUUAUGACAGGACAUCGGGCCAAAGGUAUGCACGUACGGCAAUUUAGCCCAGUCUGGUCUGAGGAGGAGUGAGACUGUGAAAGCUGCAGCAAACGGAAAGGACUUUCACCAGUUUCUUGAGCGAGAAACGGAUGUUGGUGAAAAAAGGAAGUUGAGUUCAAGUUUAGAGCACAUGGCAUAAGCCAAAGAUCCAGGGAUGACUCUAAAAGCUAACGAGAUGAUUCUGGUUAAACCGGGCAUUCCUCAGAGCAAGGAAAGAUCUUUCAAAAAUAGAAUCAAGAGAAAGCGCUAGAACCGAUGUAAGUAAGAUCCGCUACAACUAGAAGUCGAUCUGGUACCUUCCUCAGGGUACUCAAUUUCAAAAAUAGAAUCAAGAGAAAGCGCUACAACCGAUGUAAGUAAGAUCCGCUAUAACUAGAAGUCGAUCUGGUACCUUCCUCAGGGUACUCAACAACUACAGUCAUCUCCCUUCUCCUUUUAGCAUUAGUCGGUCGAGAAUCUUAUACGAACAUUGUGAACUCAUUCCUGCCUUUGCAAUACCAGCGCAUCUUGUGCCACCGAAGCGGUUGUGCUCUGCCUCUUCCCCUCUAUCAGAAGAUUGCCUUGUGUGGAAGGUUGACUCUGAACUUCAGUCAAUGGGAGGAAUCCCCUUAUCUAAGGUUCUUUGUAUGGCACUCUAAACUCUCUUUCUUACGCGAGACAGAAAGUGUAACUACCGAAGCUCUUUCAACUUAAUGGGAGGAAUCCCCAUUAUCUAAGGUUCUUUGUAUGGCACUCUAAACACUCUUUCUUACGCGAGAUAGAAAGUGUAACUACCGAAGCUCUUUCAACUUGUCCUGUCUUUGGAUAAGUAUUGCGGUUAAGUCAGUUAACAAGAUGAGAGUCGGAAAAUUGAAAUAAGAACUGUCAAGUGAUUCUUGAAUGCUUCUACUUAUGUAGAUGGAGACCAGUACGCUACUAUAUAUACUUAAAAUUCCCAAGACAAUAUCGGGAGUACCCAUCUUAUGUGAUAUGUAACUAGAUCGUCAAACUCUUUCCCGCUAUACCCAGCCGAUUCUCAUGGACAAAAGGUAUAGCAUUACAUUUUAAAAGACAGAUGAAAGCUAGGUCUCUACUCCUUCUUCAUGAUAAAGAAAGGACUUGUAAUCAUCUAGAUCGACGUAAGGUGCGUAGCGGUGUAGAGUCCAACUAAGACUUCAAUGAAGGUGUCAUUCAUCUUGAUUGAGGAGUUUAUUACUAACCGCUAAACCUGCGCCUUCUGAGAAUGGUUUUACCUUGCUCCUCAACCUUAUUCUGUUUCCGAUCCUACUUCAGAUUCUCUUUCAGUUGUGGAAACAAGCCCCUAUUCCUAUCAGUUGAGUAGCCCAAGCUCCUUAAGUAUUGUCCCCUCUCCUGUGAAAGAAAGAAGUUGAUGCACCCAGCUACCCGAAGUAGAGCUUUUUUGUCCCACCUUUCCUUACUGACUUUCCUAGUUUAGAUAGCGUAUUGAGAAUCAUGUCAAAAUACACCAAGACCUGGGCCCAGGUUCUCUUUCUUCAAGAAAGGGUAGCUUUAAACAACCCGGUUCCAAACACACCAAACAAGCAAGCGACUCCCCUUCCUUAGCGUACCCAGUUUUCUUUGUUCAAGAAAGGGUAGCUUUAAACAACCCGGUUCCAAACACACCAAACAAGCAAGCGACUCCCGUUCCUUAGCGUACCCGUCCAUUAAGGCAUUCUUCCUUCUUGCGUAUGUGUUAUAGCUCAUAGCUCUAAGCCCCAAUUCCUUGGUGAAAAGAGCUGUCGCCUUUAAAUCAUCGAAAAAAGAAAAGAAGGAACCGCUCGAAAGGGACCACACAACAAUGGCUCAUAACUGGAAAACAUAACAACAAUGUCUCCUAGCUGCAAAAGAAAUCGCCUUUAAAUCAUCGAAAAAAUAAGAGAAGGAACCGCUCGAAAGGGACUACACAACAAUGGCUCAUAACUGAAAAACAUAACAACAAUGUCUCCUAGCUGCAUAAGAAUGGCUCCCAACUGAAAAUUUAUCUCGAUCACUCUCUACAGAAAGCCAUUUUCCCUUUCGCAAAAAGUAAACUUGGACUUCCUUCCUAAGCGGAGAUUUGGACUACAUGGACCUAAGCAACCCGCUGACAGGGGCAGCCUUUCACUGUUAGAAACUUUGAUUUAGAAUUGUUGGAUUAUGUCUAAUCUUUCCUAAUUUAGAAAUUGCACUCAAUCAACAUAGUUUCCACUCAUUACUUCUCGACCGCCUCUUUUCUAGUCACUUUUGAUCAAAUCUUUCUUUUGAUUUUCUAUUCUCUUAUGAGAAAUGGUUUGCUUCGUUUGAGCCAUCGUCGCUAAAUGCAUGUAGGGGGGCUGGGGCUUUUCCCCCAUGACCCCUUUUAAAGGAGAACCAGAAGAACAACAAUGAACUCAAAGCUAAUGAAGGAGAUCCGCAACUUGAACAAGGUACACGGGAUCUUUCCUACCCCUUUCUAUUUCGACUUCUUUGAAAGGUGACCAGAAGAACAACAAUGAACUCAAAGCUAAUGAAGGAGAUCCGCAACUUGAACAAGGUACACGGGAUCUUUCCUACCCUUUUCUAUUUUGACUUCUUCGAGAGGUGAAAGACUAAGAAGCUAGACCGACUUGCUCUUAAAUUAAAAGCACCAAGAGCAAGUAAGUAGGCUUUUCUCCGCACGAACAAUCUUGACUUUCUAUAUACUUUAUAAUAUAAGGCCCUUUAAACGAUCGUAAAUGGCCUGAAAUGUAACGACCUAUGAGAGAAAGGUUUUUAGAAAAGAAAGCGUACCAAUCCGGCAAACAAAUCAAAAACAACGGCUCCUAUAUAAAUACAAUAGAAAUUAAAUGUUGUCACUAGAACGGACCACACAAAUAACAUCUUUCUAUCCGCCUAAAGGAAGUAUUCAAAUAUAAGAUAACACUAUGCGCAUACAAGCUAACUUCAGGUAUGCAGUUAGUUCUCAAGCAAUUCUUUCAGAUCUUAGGUGCGACCUUAGGGAGCUUGUUUAGGCAGAUACUCUCUUAUAGUUAUGUGUCCUGGUUUCCGAGUUCUAGUUCAAGGCAGGGCAGGACGGGACUCACGGGGGUUGGGGGGAGCCUUCCCCCAGGGAAAACCUAAUAAGACUCAUUCUAAUACUUGAGUUCAAGCUCCUACAGUUCUAGUUCAAGGCAGGGCAGGACGGGACUCACGGGGGUUUGAGGGAGCCUUCCCCCAGGGAAAACCUAAAAAGACUCAUUCUAAUACUUGAGUUCAAGCUCCUACUUCUAAGUAAGCCUAUGAGUUGUUUCGAAGCUUAGUAGCUAAAGAGUACUUGCGUGUUGAAGGGGCGGAUUUGGGCUACUAAGUGGAACAAGACCAUUCAACUUGCCAUUUGCACUCUCCUAGGGUGCGAUCAUAGGAAGCUCUAUUAGCAAAUGCAAUUCCCCACCCGAUAAGACUGAUCAUGCCCUGCGGCUUGGCUUGGAAUCAAACUAGCCUAUCAUGUUUUUUCUUCAUUCCUCUAUGGACCCAUAUUCAUAUGUUCUUCCAAUGUUUACUUUAUUACUGAGAUUCCUAUUUACUGAACCAUAUCAAAGAAGCUACUUUCUUUCUGGCUUUAAUACCCAGGUUUAAAGGGAUAGACAGUCUAAGAGAGUGCCAAGAAACAACACAUACAUAUCAUUUUUGGAAAGUUUGGAACCCUCGAUUCAUCCGACUCAAGGAGAAAAAGAGAACAAGAUGGGGGGGCUUGCCUCCUCGUUCCCUUUUACCUAUGCCAUGAUGCUCAUGGGCAGCUUAUCUCUAAUUGGAUUUCCUUAUCUUUCUUCUUCAAAUUACGAGUAGAGAUUUGGGGAGAGUGGAUAGGACAGGGUGGUGGAUGACGUAAAGGAAGGGAAGGCCCAUCCCGUGCUUUCGAGCGAUUCUUCCCGCAAAAGGCAGAUCUUUUUCUUUCCGUCCCAAAUAGAACAAUAGAAUAGGGACUUAGAUGUGACCAAGGUGCUUGCAAGCUUAGGGUUAGCAGGUGGCAGAUCUUUUUCUUUCCAUCCCAAAUAUAACAAUAUAAUUGGGACUUAGAUGUGACCAAGGUGCUAGCAAGCUUAGGGUUUGCAGGCUAUUGGCUGGGAGAGCUGGUAAAAGAAUGAAACCUUCAAGAGACCGUGGUUAACAAGCUAGCUGAGGAAGAACAAUCUCCCCCAGCAAUACCAAUCCUCCCUAGUUCAAUCAGAAUCGAGAACAACGGAGAAGUUCUAACCGGCCUAGCCUAACCAACUGCUACAAGCGGGCAGGAAAUUGAUGUGGUGGAGACUCAAGUCAAGGAUAUGGAUCACUAUUACUAUCGAUAGAUGCAUUCCCUGGACUGUGUUCAAUGGCACCUGAUAUGCCAACAAGGGCUUACUAAGAUAUCUUGCAUGUUUUAUAGGGUGCUUCUUAUGUCUUUCCAUAAGCAGAAGUAUGAGUAGAGCUGUUAUUCCCCUAUUCUUAAUCCCACUUCUUAUGUCUGUCAACAAAAGCCCAGCCCCUGGUUCAAUCGAUAGAUAGGCCGAAAACAUAUUUCUGGACAAAUGAACAGACCUUUCCUUACAUGACUUGCCAACAAAGCGGUCAAACCAGUAACCAAGUCGUGAUAACUUCUUCUGCCGAAAACAUAUUUCUGGACCAAUGAAUAGACCUAUCCUUACUUGACUUGCCAACAAAGCGGUCAAACCAGUUACCAAGUUCAUGCGUCAGUGCCACGUCAAGGAUCUUAGGAAAGGGGAAGCUCAAAUGAUAUCUAAUGGGAUGGGCAUGCUCCCUACUGCUCUAUGAUUUAAUAUAGUCAUACUCUGUAUCGUACCUGGUAGCUAGCCUUUCGCUUCCUCCUUGUACAAAAUUUUGACUUGAAUUCCCGCUGAAAGCGAGAACGCACUAUAUUCCUUCAAAAUAAAAAGAAGGCUGGAAAAAAGAGAGAGCUCCUUUCUUUUCUAGCUUUGGCGGGAGGAAUGAAAAUCCUAUCCUAUACGAAGGCCUAUAUACAAAAAAGCACUUCGCCUAGAAUCCCAAGUUGCCUCCCCUCUCCUCUGAGGCCGAUCGCAUCCGCUUUUGGAGCCCCUCCCCUUUGAGUUCGACAGCAGACCAGACAUAGACCGAAUUUGGGGCCUAAACUCUUAAGUAGAUUGCCUAUAGAAAGGAGUGGCAGCAGCCCAGACAUAGACCGAAUUAGGGGCCUAAUCUCUUGAGUAGAUUGCCUAUGGAUAGGAGCUUACUCCAAGAUCUGACUCCGCCCGUGUAGGAGUUCGGGAAGGCCAGAAGUAAACAAAGAGCGGUAGAAGAGAAUAAAGUGUUGCGCCCAUUCUUUUCUUUCAUAGCUGGAGCAAAUGGAAGGAGACGUCGUGCAAGUCGAAGACUUUGAUAGGUGUCGGUAGGCACGCCUCUUAUAAGGGCUCAAUCCUGAUAAUCAAUCCCAAUCGAAUCUAUGGAAGAGAGACCCUCUAUCCUCUUAAUCUUUAGAGUAGAUAUUAUGUAUAGGAUAAUCAGUCAACUGCGUGAACGUCGUGUAAGCCGAAGACUUUGACAAGUAUCGGUAGGCACGCCUCUGAUAAGGGCUCGAUCCUGAGAAUCAAUCCUAAUCGAAUCUAUGGAAGGGAGACCCUCUAUCCUCUUAAUCUUUAGAGUAGAUAUUAUAUAUAGGAUAAUCAGUCCACUGCGGUGCCCAAAACAAGGCAAGAUGAAUAGGAAUGUUGAAGGGACAUAAGGCUCAGCUAAGGUAAGGAAAGACCCUGACCAUCUAGGUCACCAAGUACUCUUAUUUUUUAGGGAGUCGGAGACGAUCGAAGAGGCAGCAAAAUAGGAACUUUCGAUCAGGGAGAGCUCAACAAGGUCGAGACCAAGAUGAUGGAUAUUCCAAGGAAAGAAGAGGCAGCAAAAUAAGAACUUUCGAUCGGGGAGAGCUCAACAAGGUCGAGACCAAGAUGAGGGAUAUUCCAAGGAAGAUCAAAGAAGAUGAAUGAAGGUUUAUACCUACCCCUAAUUGGCACUAUGAAUCCAAUCCCAUCUACACAGAUGUUCCUAGCCAAGAGAUGAGGGGGUUCUCUCUUAUUGUUAAGUUGUCUUCAACUCUUAUUUCUUUACUCCUUUACGCAUCGGGGCUGAUAAUUGGAUAAAAUCUCCUUAAAUAAAGAAAGGGGGCGCAUAAAUUGGGUUUUUGGCUCGCAAUAAAGCUAGGGUCCUGAUCGAGCAAUUAGUAGUCCUAUCUAUCCACCUCUGCAGACACAAUAUCUUCAGUACCUAUGAUGGUGACCACAUCUGCUGGCAUGUGAUGUUUAGACAUAGAAUCGAGUCCUUGUGAAUGGGCAAAGCCAGGUGCUCUUAUUUUACGACGGUAGGGACGAUUACUUCCAUUACUGACCAGAAAGACACCAAAUUCUCCUUUAGGUGCUUCAACUACGGUAUAGGUAGAAGGAGCUGGUACGGAAAAACCUUCAGUAUAAGGUUCGAAAUGGUGAAUUGAGGUAGAGUAGACCGAUGAUCCUGUAGUCAUUUGGUCGGCUAUUGAAAGAAAAAGCUUGCAUCUGCUUCCCCUAUUAUAUAACCGGUCCCAUCUCUCUCCAAACCUAACGUGGUAGUUUCCCAUCAUAGGGCUUUCUAUCUAUAGAUUAAGCCAUUACCAAGGAGCUAAUUUGUUCAGAACUCAGUUGACUGCUUCAAUAUAGAAGGCGGAGCGUCCUUGGCUCAGCAUUAUAGCACAUAGGUCUUCGGCGCUACUACAGCGCUUCGCUAACUCUAAGCGCC